rnacentral:lncRNA from 10 species
GCCCGCCCUCCCUGACUCAGCCUUUCCACCUACCCCGACCCCGGGAGAACUGGGAGGGGGAUGGGAGGCACCCGCCCUGGGGCCCACCACCCCCAGGUCUCAGAGGCAGUGACCAGGGGGUGUGUCUCCCGUCAUCCCUACCCCACUCUGUCUCCACCUCUCUUCCUGUCUCCCCAUCUAAUCCCUGUCCCUGGGACUGGCUCCACCUCUGUCUGUCAGCUAGAUGCUCACGUCUUGACCAUCUGACUAACCCUAAUUCUGACUCAAUUUCUGUGUCUCUCAUCGCUUUUUAAAAACCUACACAACAAAUUUACGUAUAGCAAAGUAUAUUGUAAACAAAUUUAAUGACCAAAUGAUAGACUGGUAAAAAAUGUGCCUAUCACCAAGGGCUGAUACCUUUCCUGUGGCCCAGGCCCUCUGCUCUUUAAAAAUGGGGCACAAAUACAGGCAGGUAAGAGACAGACAGCUCUCAUCCUGCACUCUUGGCUUUCUGAGAGAUAUGACCCCAAGGUCCUGGAGUCUAGCUGCUGCUUCCUCCUCUGGGAAAUAGAGGAGUGAUAUUGGUAGUACCUAGGGCAUAGCACUGCUGGGACAAUUCAGUGAUUUGGGGACUGAUCUCCAUAUCAAGAUGACCUGAUCCUGUCUGUGUGCGGGACAGUGGCUAGCACGGAGCCCUUGUUAGGCCCGCCUACCAUCUGACCCUUCUCAAACCUUCCCGUCUGAGGACAUCUGCAUGCACACUUGUCCCUCCAAUGCUGUCUCACUCUGGAUGGCCCUGACACCUGAGAGGCCAGACAGCCAAGUGGUUUCUAGGACCUUUGUGAUUCUAGGCCUGGGUUCCUGUUUCAUUUCUGCCUCUGAUGGCCGAGUGGCCUUGAGGAAGCAACAUCUUUCCAGGCCUCCUUUGACCCACUUCACUAGUUCAUGGGGCCAUCUGAGGAUCCAACCCGGUGUCAGGCACUUCGCUCGGGCCUGACAGAGGACAGAAGCGCUCCGUAGCAGAGGCUUUCGUUCUUUAAUAGUCGCUCUGAGCAUCUUGUCUGCCUCCAUCCAGCUCUCACUUUCCCUGUCUGGCUCUAAUUCUGGUUGACCCAGAGGGCAUAGCUGAGGCUCGGAGGUCAGGAACCGUGGACUCCAGGAGGCAGUUUUGAGGGUCCUUCAGGCUUGGCCCUCCUGUGUGUGUCUGCUGGGGGAGCAGGAGCCGGGUGUGGGGGCAUGGGAAGGCGGGACGCCUGGGUUCCC